CGAACGCUGGCGGCGCGCUUAACACAUGCAAGUCGAACGCACACUUUCGGGUGUGAGUGGCGGACGGGUGAGUAACGCGUGGGAACCUGCCCUGAGGUCUGGGACAACCGUGGGAAACCGCGGCUAAUACCGGAUGUCUCCUACGGGAGAAAGGCUUGCCGCCUUGGGAGGGGCCCGCGUUGGAUUAGCUUGUUGGUGGGGUAAUGGCCUACCAAGGCUGCGAUCCAUAGCUGGUCUGAGAGGAUGAUCAGCCACACUGGGACUGAGACACGGCCCAGACUCCUACGGGAGGCAGCAGUGGGGAAUCUUGGACAAUGGGGGAAACCCUGAUCCAGCGACGCCGCGUGGAUGACGAAGGCCUUAGGGUUGUAAAGUCCUUUUCUCGGGGAAGAUGAUGACGGUACCCGAGGAAUAAGCACCGGCUAACUCC
rnacentral:rRNA from 1 species